ACCAAAAUUAUCAGUUGACCUCUUAAGGAGUUAUUGCCCUUUAUAGUCAAUUUUUAACCAUUUUUCGUAAAUCUUUGUAAUCUUUUACAAAAAUCUUCUCCUCUGAAACUACUGGGCCAAUUUAAACCAAACUUGGCCGCAAUCAUCAUUUGGGUAUCUAGUUUUAAAAAUGUGUCCGAUGACCCGGUCAACCAACCAAGAUGGCCGCCAUGGCUAAAAAUAGAACAUAGCGGUGAAAUGUAGAUUUUGGCUUAUAUCUCUGAAACCAAAGCAUUUAGAGCAAAUCUGACAUGGGUUUAAAUUGUCUAUCAGGUCAAGAUCUAUCUGCCCUGAAAUUUUCAGACAAAUCGGACAACCUGUUGUUGGGUUG
rnacentral:lncRNA from 1 species